GGCCAAGGCCUGUGCUGCUGUGCCUCCUUCUCCCUGUGUCCCAGUGUUUGCUCUCUUCUUCCCAGGAGCCGCUAUGUCCAGGUGCGGAAGUGUGCGGCCAAACUCCUCCUGUCCUUGAUGGGGAAAAUUGGAGUCACGAAGCUCGCAGACACACCCAGGGCUGAGAGCCUGGCACAGGUGGCAGGGAAGCUUGCUCAGGACUGUCACAAGGACACAAGGCACUAUGGACAGGAGAUGGUGAAGAUGUUGCUAAAUCAUCAAAAAUUUAAAAGGCUUUUGGAGCAAUCUGUUUCUACCAUGACCUGGAAGAUAUUCUGUCAAGAAUUAAGAAGAAAGAGAUGGAAAACCAGAAGAGUGAAGGCCCAUCUAGCUAGCUAGAUGACUACUAGCCAGGCCUCUACAGCUGAUGUUUUCAGGAGCAUCCAAAUAAUCGGGAACAUCAGGAACUCAAGGAUGGUUUUGCUCUCCAUUUUCUAUAACAGGACAUAAAAGACUAGCUCUGAUUUUUGGAGGGUGGCGGGGGGGGUGGUGUUAUUUUCUUUUUUCCUUUUCUCUCCCAUCUCCCCCCUCUUUAAAACAAACCAAACAAUUAUAAGCAAGGUUAUUCUGUGUAUUGGGGACACAUGACCCGGCACCAGCAGCAGCACAGAGGUACAUUUUGGUGUAAACUGGCAAUUUGGGCUAGGCAACGAGGGCAAGAAGGGGAAGAGGGAGGGAGUUAAGAAGACUUGUGAACUGUCACAGUGUCAGGUAUGACAUUGGCAGUUGUCUCUCGUCGUGGCCCUGGUAGCAGGACGGUUUGGCCUCUGUCUGGUUGUUGGUCUGGUGGCAGGUCGGUUCGGUGGACUCCGACAACGUCUCCGUUUUCAGGCUGCAGUGGACUGCUGUUUUUCAGGACCUGUGUGGGUCUCAGGAGAGUUUGAAAGUUCUGAGUCAAGAUGCCAGUGAAGAAGAGCAGCGAUUCCUCAAAGUAGCCCCAGGCCACAUUGCCUUCUAGUAAACGGGUGAAGUCUACCUCUGAGGAACACCUCCUACACCGUGCAAAAGCCCAGGUCACGUUACCUCCACCUGUGGAAGAAACGGAGCCGCUCCAGAAGCUUUACAAUCUCCUGGAAGCCAAGGGGUUUCAGACACAGCUGGAAGGAGUGGCAUUCCUUCUCGAGCUGUGCAAAACCAGCCCCCAGCUCAUCUCCACUAACAUUGUCCAAGUAUGUAGGGUAUCUUCAUUGUUCCUUUCCUUUAGCUCCUUUCCCAAGCCUGGAGCAGUGAAGUUCAUUCUGUGUGUCUUGGCACUACAUCCUGGCAGUUUGGGACAGGCUGGUCCCUCUUACACAGACAAAUUUCAUUUGGGUCCAGGCUUCAGAACAAGUUCUUUCAGUCCAGCUGUAUUUGUCAGGCAGGGGCCUAUUGAUGCUGUUCAUCAGAUGAUGACAGAGUUUGCUGCUGCUGUAGCUCCUGCUGUCUCCUACUCCCAGCUGGGUUAAGUGAAGGGAAUACCAGCGCUGAAAGCAUGGCAAUUAUUCUCUCGAUAAAAAAUGGUUGAUCAUGAGGAAGAGAAGUAUCAGGCUGGGUUGGUUUAAACCCAUAUUUUUUGAAAGGUUACUUCUGUAAAGACCACCUUGUCUUGCACAGGCACAGCUCCGGGUUACUCAUAUCUAUCUUUGUCCCUAUUCCUCUUGGUAGAGAUGGUGCUCACCCUCCCUAUGGGGGGCCUAUUUUACUCUCUGGAAAGGGAGGAAAAUGACUAAGAACAGAUCUGUGCCUUCACCUCCCAGAAGCUGCAUUUCCCUUUCUCCAGAAAAUGGUGCCUGAUAAUGUGGUUGUCAAGUGACUGAACCUGCUCUAAUGAGAGCUGUAGAGCACAUUAAAUUUCAGAAGCCUUCCUGUUAGUUAGACAAAUGGUGUGGAUCCUGGAAGAGUUGAUCAGAGCCCUGCACUUCUCCAGACCCAGAGACAGACAAAAGAAAACUUAGAUCUCCUCCAGCCAUAGUUUUGGCAAAAUCAAAACUGCCCUCAGUACUUGAGGCAAGUGCAUAGAAAAAUGGGCACAUUAAAUAUCUGGUUCCAUACUUCUAAAGCAAAGGUCAUCUUUUUGAAUUAAUAAAUGGAAUUAAUUUAAUGAUUUACAGGUGGAGAGAAACACCACAGGAAUUAUUCUUUCCCCACUCAAACCUCUUCAAAAUAGAUGAAAAUCUUUCAACCAGCAUGAGGUUGUGCAACCACUCCAGUGAGUGGCCCCCAGGAAAACAGUGACAUUGUGCAAGCAAGUGCUGACCUGUCCAAAAGGAUCAGAUUCAUCUUUUACGUUGCUGAGUGCGCUUGUCCACAUCCCCUCUUCAAACAAGGACAUUGUAAUCCAGCAGUCAUGUUGUUUGCUCUCUCCAGAUUUUUGAUUAUUUUGUCCUGAGAAUAUCUGACAGCCAC